rnacentral:tmRNA from 1 species
GGGGAUGUAUUAGUUUUGACAGUUGGUAGAAUUGUUAUUUGGACUAGGUAAGUUGUUAGAAAUUCUUUGAAACUAACCACUAACUUAAGUGCAAACAAAACACAAUCAUUUGUAGAUAGAGUUGAAGCUUACGCUGCUUCUUUGCUACAAGGUGUACCGCAAGCUGCCUAAAAUGACUAUUUUGUAGUCGUAUUAGCGUUAAGCUCGUCGUCACUGACUAGGGUUUGAGAAUGUGUAUAUUUUCUCUUAUCUUAGCUUAAAAUUCUAAUGUAUACACCAUUGUUAUCUGUGUGAUUGAUGCAGAAUACAAUGCACUCCAUCAAUCUAUCGAUCAGUAGUUUGUUAGUUCUCUAUCUAUUGAUACUGAAAUAUUGCAACAACUUUUGUUUUAGUUGGAGCAUGCAAAACUAAAUAUGUGUCUAGUCUGAAAAACUGAAUAACAAAGAAACUAAUUGGACGUGGGUGCGAAUCCCACCAUCUCCACCA